rnacentral:lncRNA from 1 species
CUGAAAUCCACAGACAUACUACACUUCCAAUCAGCCUUGCUGUGUUUUGAAAAGAAAGCUGAAAAGACGUGUGCACUACUGCCAACUGUUGCCAUGGUUCACCAGCAUGUUGGAUGAGCUGAAACAAAGGAGGAAAAGGAAAUGAUGAACCAGGAAUUUCAAUUUAGCUUGAUUUAAAUAGCCACAGAGUUAAAGCCCCUGGUAAAAGCCUUGGUAGCCAGAGGUUUCUUCUGUGGGCCUGUCUCUCCAGCAGAAGUAAGAGCAACUCACUCAGCACAGCUUUCAGUCCUCAAACUUCACAGCCCACUGUAUUCCUUUCCAGUGCCUACAGCAACC